CCCUUUAAUGUUUGAUGUUCUAACCUAUACUUCUGAAUCGAGGUAAGGGACACUGUCUGGUGGGUAGUUUGACUGGGGCGGUCUCCUCCCAAAGAGUAACGGAGGAGCACGAAGGUUAGCUAAUCCUGGUCGGACAUCAGGAGGUUAGUGCAAUGGCAAAAGCUAGCUUGACUGCGAGAGUGACGGCUCGAGCAGGUACGAAAGUAGCUCAUAGCGCUCUUUCAUUGGGUUUAGUUGUAAUAAGUUUAAUGAAUAA
rnacentral:ncRNA from 1 species